AGAUGAAACCAUCGAGUCAAUUCUUGACAAGGUAUGUACAUUUGAGCCCAAAACCCAAGUUGUUACUCAAGUUUUGAUUAACUUACAUACGAAGCCUUCAUAAAAAUUCAGAAGAUGCAGGUACAAUAAGAGUUCAGAAGAUAAGGAAUCUAUGCGAGAAAAAACGAGAACUCCAGCAGCGGCGAAUACUUCAGCGGCAUCAGCGUUGUAACUUCAGCGGCAGCAACAAAUUGAGAACUCCAGCAAAACCCUUGGGCGCGUGGGGGCGGUAGCUCGCCUCCACCAGCAGGCAGCAACAGAUCACCACCAGCAAGCUCGCCUCCACCAGACACUAGCAGCAGAGCGCCAAGGUCAAGGCUUAGACAAUCUGUCAAGGCUUAUUCUGACACUAGCAGCAGAAUCCAAAUCAUUCAAAUCCAAGGUCAAGGCUCGCCUCCACCAGACACCAGCAACAGAAUCCAAGGUCAAGGCUUAGACAAUCUGCAAGCAGGCGGCAGCAGAUCACCACUAGCAGCUGGCCUCCACCAGCGUCUGGCAGCAGAGCACCGGCUCAGCUCCACCAUCGGGCACGCACGGGUCAGGAGGAGGAGCGCAUGGGCGAGGGUGAAGGGCGGAGGUGGAGGACGGGGGUGGAGGCGAAAGUGGAGGACGGGGAUGGAGGUACAGGUGAAGGC
rnacentral:lncRNA from 1 species